rnacentral:rRNA from 1 species
AUGUCGUCGUCGGCGGGCGACGCCGAGGCCGAUCCCCUCGGCGGCGCCUCCCCGGCCGGCCGCGUGCUCGGCCGCGCCCUCGACAAGGUCAUCAAGCACUCCUCCUGGCGCAAGCACUCCGCGCUCGUCUCCGCCUGCAAGUCCGCCAUCGACCUCCUCUCCGCCGCCGCCCCGGCCCCGGCCCCCGAGCCGUCCGCCUCGCCCAUCCCCGGCCUCCCCGCCCCCGUCGCCGAGGCCGCGCUCCAGGCGCUCCUCCUCGCCCUCGAUCCCGGCUCCCCCAAGGUCGCCGAGCCGGCCCUCGAGUGCGUCGCCAGCCUCCUCUCUCUCCGCCUCCUCCUCGGCGACGUCGCCCCGGCCGACCCCUCGCCGGUCUCCAGGCUCUUCGCCGCGGUCCUCUCCUGCGGCGGCCUCGGCGACGACGCCCUCGAGCUAGCCGCGCUCCGCGUGCUCGUCGCCUUCGCGCGAUGCCCCUCGGUCUCCGUCCGCGGGGAGUGCCUGGGCCAGAUGGUGAAGGCGUGCUAUAACUUGUACCUGGGGAGCGCCAGCGGCGGGAACCAGCUCUGCGCCAAGCUGGCGCUCGCGCAGGUGCUGGUCGUCGUGUUCGCGCGCGUGGAGGCGGAUGCCAUGGACGUCCGCGUGCGCACCGUCUCAGCUGCGGACAUGAUGGACCUCUCCGACCGGAGCCUCAACGACUCCAGCGUCGUGCAGGAGGCCCAGACGUUCAUAAAUGAGGCGAUGGAGGGGAGCGACGCGCCAGAGGAGGCCGCCCAUGUGCUGGCCGAGGGGGACAGAGGCGGGGAGGAUGAGAGCAUGAGCAGGAUCAGGGAGGAUGGACUGGCGUUGUUCAAAAACCUCUGCAAACUGUCAAUGAAGUUCGCCACUCCGGAUAACCCGGAUGAUCCAGUACUUCUCCGGGGGAAGGUGUUGUCACUUGAGCUACUUAGGAUGGUCAUCGACAACGCAGGGCCGUUCUGGAAGACAAAUGAGAAGUAUCUUGAAGCAAUCAAGCAGUACCUUUGUUUAUCCUUGUUGAAGAACAGUGCCAUGUCAGCAAUGAGUGUUUUCCAGCUUUUGUGCUCCAUUUUUAUGGGUCUUCUGUUAAGGUUUAGAUCUGGUUUGAAGGAGGAAAUUGGAAUAUUUUUUCCUAUGCUUGUCCUAAGGGUUCUUGAAAAUGUUCUUCAGCCUAGCUUUUUGCAAAAAAUGACAGUUCUAAACUUUCUGGAGAAGAUUUGUAAAGAACCUCAGGUUAUUAUUGAUAUCUUUGUGAACUAUGAUUGUGACGUCGACGCACCGAACAUUUUUGAAAGGAUUGUGAAUGGACUACUUAAGACGGCUUUAGGUGUCCCUGAUGGAUCAACAACGACACUAACUGUUGCACAAGACCAAACAUUUCGAAUUGAAUCUGUCAAGUGCCUUGCAACUGUUAUCAAAUCAAUGGGUUCAUGGAUGGACCAGCAGCUGAGAAUUGGUGAAGUUCUCCCUAUAAAUUCUGAAGUACUAAGUUCAGUGGACAAUCAUAAUAUGCAUAAUGGAGAAGAAGGGACAGGAAUGGAUUAUGAUCUGCAAUCUGAGUCUAGUAGCUCUGACGUAUCUGAUUCUUCUUCAGUUGAGCAACGACGUGCUUACAAAAUAGAACUUCAGAAAGGAAUUGCCUUGUUUAACAGAAAACCUUCCAAAGGUAUUGACUUUCUCAUUCGAAGCAAGAAGUUAGGCCAGUCCCCGGAAGAUGUGGCUUCUUUCUUGAUAAACACUGCUGGCUUAAAUGCAACAAUGGUUGGAGACUAUUUGGGUGAAAGAGACGAGUUUCCUCUCAAGGUCAUGCAUGCCUAUGUGGAUGCACUAAACUUUAAAGGGUUGGAUUUCGGUGAGGCAAUUAGAUUCUUUCUGCGAGGUUUCAGGUUACCAGGGGAAGCACAGAAGAUUGACAGGAUAAUGGAAAAAUUUGCUGAACGCUUCUGUAAAUGCAACCCAAAUGUUUUUACCAGUGCAGAUACCGCUUAUAUUCUUGCUUAUUCCGUGAUCUUGCUAAACACUGAUGCUCACAGUGUCAUGGUGAAGGAUAAGAUGUCUAAGGCUGAUUUUAUGCGCAAUAACCGGGGAAUUGAUGAUGGGAAGGAUUUACCUGAAGCUUACUUAAGUACAUUGUACGACCAAAUUGUUAGCAAUGAGAUCAAAAUGAGUGCUGAUUCUUCAGCUGCACAAACCAAGCAAACCAACAGCGUAAGUAAGCUUCUAGGCUUAGACAACAUUAUGAACCUUGUCAAUUGGGGACUGACAGAAGACAAGGCACACGGCGCAAAUGACUUGCUCAUUAAGCACAUACAUGAGAAAUUUAAAGCAAAGCAUGGGAAAUCAGAGUCUGUGUUUUAUAUUGUUGCUGAUGCAACCAUUUUAAGGUUCAUGAUGGAGGCCUGUUGGGCUCCUAUGAUGGCUGCGUUCAGUGUGACACUAGACCAAAGUGAUGACAAGGCUGCUACAUCACAGUGUUUAAUUGGAUUAAGAUCGGCAGUGCAUGUCACCUCUGUUAUGUGCCUGCAGACACAGAGAGAUGCCUUUUUGACUUCCAUAGCCAAAUUCACAUCCCUCCAUUCUGCUGCAGAUAUGAAACAGAAGAAUGUCGACGCUGUUAAGGCUAUAAUUUCUAUCGCAAUCGAAGAUGGAAAUUACUUGCAGGAAGCUUGGGAGCACGUGCUAACAUGUUUAUCACGGUUUGAACAUUUACAUUUGCUUGGAGAAGGGGUACCUACUGAUGCUUCAUUUCUGACAGUGCCUAUGGUUGAGUCAGAAGGAAAAAAUCAGAUGUCUACUUCUGUUCUACCUUCAAAGAGAGCCAAUGCUCUUCAGAAUCCUGCCGUGAUGGCUGCUGUUAGAGGGGGUUCUUAUGAUAGCACUGUUGCAAAAACCAGUGCCUCAGCAUUGGUUACUCCUGAACAGAUCAAUAAUUUCAUAUCAAACAUAAAUUUGCUGGACCAGAUAGGCAUUGUUGAGUUGAAUCAUAUAUUUGCCCAUAGUCAAAGGUUAAACAGUGAUGCCAUUGUUGCUUUUGUGAAAGCUCUUUGCAAGGUCUCAAUGACUGAGUUGCAGUCUCCGUCAGAUCCUCGUAUCUUCUGCCUUACAAAAAUAGUAGAGAUUGCGCAUUACAAUAUCAACCGCAUACGUUUGGUGUGGUCUCGAAUUUGGAAAGUUCUAUCAGAAUUUUUUGUGUCUGUUGGAUUAUUAGAAAAUCUUUCUGUUGCAAUGUUCGUAAUGGACUCUCUAAGGCAGCUAGCAAUGAAGUUUUUGGAAAGAGAGGAACUGGCAAACUAUAACUUUCAAAAUGAGUUCCUUCAACCCUUUGUGGUUGUUAUGCAGAAGAGUAAUGUUCCAGAAGUGCGUGAGCUAAUUGUUCGAUGUGUCUCACAGAUGGUCCUAAGUCGAGUUAACAACAUAAAAUCUGGCUGGAAGGGUGUUUUUACGGUUUUUACUUCUGCUGCGGUUGAUGAUACGAAGAGUACUGUCCUAGUGGCAUUUGGGACUAUGGAAAGAAUUGUCCGUGACUACUUUCGAUACAUAACCGAGACAGAUGCCACAACAUUUACAGAUUGUGUCCAAUGUCUUAUUGCAUUUACAAGUAGCCAAUUUAAUAGCGAGGCCAGUCUCAAUGCUAUUGCAUUUCUCCGGUUCUGUGCUGUUAAACUUGCCGACGAAGGAUUUGUCUGUCAAGAUAAGGGUGCCGAUGGACCCAGGAAUUCAGACAUGUCAGAAGGAAAUGCCAUUGUGAACAAGAAUGAUUAUGUUUCCUUCUGGGUUCCUCUCCUUGAAGGUUUAGCCAGAUUGACAACUGAUCCAAGGCUGACCAUUGGGAAAAGUGCUGUAGGAGUGCUUUUUGAUAUUCUGAAGGAUCAUGGGCACCUCUUUUCUCAGUCCUUUUGGACCAGUAUAUUAGAGUCUGUUGUUUAUCCUCUGUUUAGCAAUCAAAGGUCUAGGGUCAAUGAUCAGACCUUAACAUCAAACGGCGCCGAGGGUGAUUUUUCAACUCUUGAAACGCAAACAUUGGCAGUGAAAUCUCUAGUGGGUUUAUUUGUUGAUUUCUUUGACGUGAUGCGGCCAGAACUUGCAAGAGUUGCAUCUAUUGUCGCAUAUUUUAUCAGAAGUCCCUAUAAACAUUCUGCUACCAUCGGUGUAUCUGCUUUGCUACGGUUGGCGGAGGGAGUUGGCAGUAAACUUUCCAAGGAGGAAUGGAAAGAUGUUCUUCUCUGCUUCAAAGAAUCAUCAACACAAACCUUUAUUGUGUUCUCUAAAAUUGUAAGGAUGAUGCAAGACAUCGACAUUCCAGAUAGAAUGGAAUCUUAUUCGGAAGCUGAUCACUAUUCAGAUCAUGAAAUUUAUAGUAAUGAUGAAGACGAAGCUAAUAUGGAGACAACUUCUUACGCCAUUGUCAAACUGAAAAAUCAUAUGGCCCUAAUACUCUUAAUCGUUCAGGGCAUUAUUAAAUUGUACGAGGAGCAGGGAAAAUAUCUUCAUGCUGAGCACAUUAGCAUUCUUUUGGAGAUGAUAUCAAGUAUUGCAACUCAUGCAAGUGAAGUGAGCUCAGACUCUUCGUUACAUAUGAAAUUCCAUAAAGCAUGUUCCCUUCUGGAGGCAUCUGAGCCAGCAGUUGUCCAUUUCGAGAACGAGACAUACCAAAGCUACCUCAAGCUUCUCCAAGCUGUGCUCCAUGGGUAUCCAUUCUUAUCGGAAGACAUGGACAUAGAAUCACGACUACUUGAUGCCUGUGAGAAAAUACUGCGGACAUAUCUAAAGUGCACCGGGAAUGGACCAUCUGAUGAAGCUUCUCAUGGCAAUCAAACUUUACAUUGCAUAGUGCCACUGGGCGCUGCCAAGCAAGAGGAGCUGUCUGCUAGGACCCCCUUGGUUCUUCUAGCGAUGCAGUUACUGCAUAACCUAGAGAAAAAUUCAUUUAGGAGAGUACUGCCCCGCUUUUUCCCACUGUUGAUUGAUCUGAUUCGCUGCGAGCAUAGCUCUGGAGAUGUUCAACACGCGCUGUACAAAAUCUUCAAAUCAUCAAUAGGCCCUAUGAUAGAAGUAUAA